GUAGGUGGCAAGCGUUGUCCGGAAUUAUUGGGCGUAAAGCGCGCGCAGGUGGUUCUUUAAGUCUGAUGUGAAAGCCCCCGGCUCAACCGGGGAGGGUCAUUGGAAACUGGGGAACUUGAGUGCAGGAGAGGAAAGUGGAAUUCCACGUGUAGCGGUGAAAUGCGUAGAUAUGUGGAGGAACACCAGUGGCGAAGGCGACUUUCUGGCCUGUAACUGACACUGAGGCGCGAAAGCGUGGGGAGCAAACAGGAUUAGAUACCCUGGUAGUCCACGCCGUAAACGAUGAGUGCUAAGUGUUGGGGGGUUUCCCGCCCCCCUCAGGUGCCUGCAGCUAACGCAUUAAGCACUCCGCCUGGGGGAGUACCGGUCGCAAGACUG
rnacentral:rRNA from 1 species